rnacentral:rRNA from 1 species
CAACGCUGGCGGCGUGCUUAACACAUGCAAGUCGAACGGAAAGUGCUCUUCGGAGUGACUCGAGUGGCGAACGGGUGAGUAACACGUGGGUGAUCUGCCCUGCACUUUGGGAUAAGCCUGGGAAACUGGGUCUAAUACCGAAUAGGACCACGCGCUUCAUGGUGUGUGGUGGAAAGCUUUUGCGGUGUGGGAUGGGCCCGCGGCCUAUCAGCUUGUUGGUGGGGUAAUGGCCUACCAAGGCGACGACGGGUAGCCGGCCUGAGAGGGUGACCGGCCACACUGGGACUGAGAUACGGCCCAGACUCCUACGGGAGGCAGCAGUGGGGAAUAUUGCACAAUGGGCGCAAGCCUGAUGCAGCGACGCCGCGUGAGGGAUGACGGCCUUCGGGUUGUAAACCUCUUUCAACUAUGACGAAGCGCAAGUGACGGUAGUAGUAGAAGAAGGACCGGCCAACUACGUGCCAGCAGCCGCGUAAUAAAA